AACGAACGCUGGCGGCAGGCCUAACACAUGCAAGUCGAGCGCGCCCUUCGGGGUGAGCGGCGGACGGGUGAGUAACGCGUGGGAACGUGCCCUUUUCUACGGAAUAGCCUCGGGAAACUGAGAGUAAUACCGUAUACGCCCUUUGGGGGAAAGAUUUAUCGGAAAAGGAUCGGCCAGCGUUGGAUUAGGUAGUUGGUGGGGUAAUGGCCUACCAAGCCGACGAUCCAUAGCUGGUUUGAGAGGAUGAUCAGCCACACUGGGACUGAGACACGGCCCAGACUCCUACGGGAGGCAGCAGUGGGGAAUCUUAGACAAUGGGGGCAACCCUGAUCGAGCCAUGCCGCGUGAGUGAUGAAGGCCUUAGGGUUGUAAAGCUCUUUCAGCUGGGAAGAUAAUGACGGUACCAGCAGAAGAAGCCCCGGCUAACUCCGUG
rnacentral:rRNA from 1 species